GAAAAUGUUAACAACCAACAAGAUGAUGGGCAUGCUACUGGUAAUCAUCAGAACGGUCAAACAGAAGGACUAAGGUACAGACAACUAUUUGCAGAAAAUCACUCUUGAUUGGUUAAUGUCCCUGCUGCUAUUGCCUGAGGUUACCAAUGGCAAUGAAGACUCCAGGACAGAUGUUACUUCUAGGGGAGUUGAUCCAAGAAUGUGGGGAUCUGUAUCUGGAGGUCCUUCAAUUACAUGGAUUCCCCUAUGAUGGGAAGAGGAAUACAUUAUUCUUUAUGAAUCUUGUAUUAAUCCAUUUGAGAAUGAUUAAAUGAUGACUUGGAUGAUUAG